rnacentral:rRNA from 1 species
UACGUAGGGUGCGAGCGUUGUCCGGAAUUAUUGGGCGUAAAGAGCUUGUAGGCGGUUUGUCGCGUCUGCUGUGAAAUCUCAAGGCUCAACCUUGAGCUUGCAGUGGGUACGGGCAGACUAGAGUGUGGUAGGGGAGACUGGAAUUCCUGGUGUAGCGGUGAAAUGCGCAGAUAUCAGGAGGGACACCGAUGGCGAAGGCAGGUCUCUGGGCCACUACUGACGCUGAGAAGCGAAAGCAUGGGGAGCGAACAGG